GAGUUUGAUCCUGGCUCAGAACGAACGCUGGCGGCAUGCCUAACACAUGCAAGUCGAACGGGAUCCUGGCUUCGGUCAGGUGAGAGUGGCGGACGGGUGAGUAACGCGUGGGAACCUGCCCAGUGGUAGGGGAUAACUGCGGGAAACUGCAGCUAAUACCGCAUGAGCCCGAGAGGGGAAAGAUUUAUCGCUAUUGGAGGGGCCCGCGUUCGAUUAGGUAGUUGGUGAGGUAACGGCUCACCAAGCCGACGAUCGAUAGCUGGUCUGAGAGGAUGAUCAGCCACACUGGGACUGAGAUACGGCCCAGACUCCUACGGGAGGCAGCAGUGGGGAAUAUUGGACAAUGGGGGCAACCCUGAUCCAGCAAUGCCGCGUGAGUGAUGAAGGCCUUC
rnacentral:rRNA from 1 species